AAAAAGAGAUUUGGAGGCACGGGGAAUUGAACCCCGGACUUCUCGCAUGCGAAGCGAGCGCUCUACCCCUGAGCUAUGCCCCCACAU
rnacentral:tRNA from 1 species